UACGUAGGGACCGAGCGUUGUCCGGAAUCAUUGGGCGUAAAGAGCGUGUAGGCGGCCAACUAAGUCCUGCGUGAAAUCUCGGGGCUCAACCCCGAGCGGUCGUGGGAAACUGGUUGGCUAGAGUGCGGGAGAGGAGAGUGGAAUUCCUGGUGUAGCGGUGAAAUGCGCAGAUAUCAGGAAGAACACCCGUGGCGAAGGCGGCUCUCUGGAACGCAACUGACGCUGAGACGCGAAAGCGUGGGGAGCGAACAGG
rnacentral:rRNA from 1 species